rnacentral:rRNA from 1 species
UAGGGAAUCUUCGGCAAUGGACGAAAGUCUGACCGAGCAACGCCGCGUGAGUGAAGAAGGUUUUCGGAUCGUAAAACUCUGUUGUUAGAGAAGAACAAGGACGUUAGUAACUGAACGUCCCCUGACGGUAUCUAACCAGAAAGCCACGGCUAACUACGUGCCAGCAGCCGCGGUAAUACGUAGGUGGCAAGCGUUGUCCGGAUUUAUUGGGCGUAAAGCUAGCGCAGGCGGUUUCUUAAGUCUGAUGUGAAAGCCCCCGGAUCAACCGGGGAGGGUCAUUGGAAACUGGGAGACUUGAGUGCAGAAGAGGAGAGUGGAAUUCCAUGUGUAGCGGAGAAAUGAGUAGAUAUAGGGAGGAAAACAAGUGGCGAAGGCGGCUCUCUGGUCUGUAAAUGACGAUGAGGCUAGAAAGCGUGGGGAGCAAACAGG